GAAUGGAACCAGCUCCUGCGCUCGGAGAGCAGAGGUGUUUUUCUAUGGACACUGGAGGACUCUAUUGGGGCUUGAAAGCAGAUCAUAUUGUGUGGAGAAAGAUGGACUGUGGGAAUGCUGUAGCUGCAACUUACAGACCUCAGUUUGGAGGGAAGUGGAGGAUACCAACUAGCAUGUAUUGAUUGCUAAGGUCCGGAUUCUACUCUUGAGAAGUGUACAUUAGUCUCACGUGGAGAUGGUGUCUUUGAGCAUAAGUGUAAUUAUGCUAAUGUAAUCUGUUCAGGUAAGAUUGAUAUGUGUUGUAUUAAAGAUUGUAUCAAACAAAAUUAGGAUAUUUUAGAUUUUCAUUUAAUAUUCAAUAUUCAUAUUUUUGGGGGGCUGAAAAUACUAGUAUCAUCAACAAAACUGAAUGUUCUACCGUCUCUUUUUGUUCAGAUUUUGUUAAGUUUGUGGAUGAAGCUGGUUUCUGCUCUGGAAGAGUGGAGCUGAAGUCCAAUCAGUCCUGGACGUCAGCGUGUGAAGCUGACUUUGACAGGCAGGAUACAGAGGUAGUCUGUCGGGAGCUUGGCUGUAGCGCCUUGUUGAGAAUAUAUAAAUAAAUAGUAUGUACUCUUCUUUCUCCAGAGUCUGAUGAUGUGAGGCUGGUGGGAGGAGGCAGUCGCUGCGUUGGUAGAGGGGAGUGGUACCAACAGGGAAAGAGGAAUAUGUAGCCUGUAAAAUAUGGGUGGAGAUUGAAGGAUGUCGCUGAUUUUUUUUGUGUAGACAGCUGGACUGUGGCUCCACUGUUUCAACACUACUUGGAAAACCGCACUGAAGGGUUUGAAGUGUACUGUAAUGGACCUGAGCCUGCGCUCAGGGACUGUGGAAGAGGCACAGGGCCAACUUUGGUGACUCCAAGGCAUUUAUAAGUUAUAUUCUUCAAGAAUCAAUGGGUACAUAGCAUUAACUUAUAAGUCAAAACACGGAUGUAGCAACUGCUGAUUGCCCCUUUAAAGAGGUUUUUAUUUUUGUGUUUUAUUUUUAUAGAUCUCCCGCUUAAGCCCGAUAUCUCCAUGACCAUCUCAAUGGGACGGGUCUCCAGGGGCCACCAAAGGACUCUAGAGGUGUUCAGGGGCCACAGCUUCACCAUCACCUGCUCCACUCAGCCACAGCACCCGGGUGUCUCCUUCCUCCUCACGUACCCUGACUCCAAAACAACCCAGACCUAGCCAGCUGUCUAUCACUCUGCUGCCUUCCUCUUUCCCGCUGCAGAUGACUUCCACCAAGGGAACUACAGCUGUGUUCAUGAGAUGUACUGUAUUUUACAUGACUUCUCUUCUGAGAGUGAGCUACUCUCCCUCACUGUCACAGUCUCUCCUCUGACAGCUUUCUACUGUCGGUGACAGCCAACUCCACCACCUAUCUGUACAUCAAGACCACCAAGAGGCCGAAGCAAGUGGAAGGGGUGAACUUGGAGAUGGUUUCUCUGAAGUCUAGAGCUGUAGCCGGACCGGGAGAGGAGAGAGCAGCCCAGGGUACAGAGUAGGGUGAAGUUGACUGAAAAGUCCAAGUGGGGUCCUUGGGAUUUCCAACUCUGAUGUUACCCCAUUGAAAUUGAAAGUAAAAAAUGUUUAAAAUGUAGAGGAAAUCUAAAACAUUUAACAUUGUAAAAAGUUAAGGGUUAAGGUUAGGGUUAUGGUGAGGUUUAGGGUAUCGAUGUCCCAAGGUUUCCGGGUGGCACUGACUGAAGUUGACCGUAGAGACGUUGACCUCAGGUCAGUUUUUUGUUUUCCAGAUAUGAUGGGACUGGUGUGGACUUGAGGGAACUUUAAUCCCCAUCCAAUCUAAUUAAAUGAGUAUUAAGUUUCCAUUGGUGAUGCUAUUGUUAUGGCUACACUCCUAUUGUUGUUGUUGUCAUUGCUGCCAGACAUAAGAGUUGGCCAGAGCACAGUUAGCAUUAGCCUAGCUUAGCUGAGACAUGAUCAUAUGUCAGUGUAGGGCUAGGUUGCCCCGAGGUGCUGCUCUAAUAUCAACCACCAGCUGUCUCCACUGCUCCCCUCUAAGCCCCACUCGACUUGAGGGGUAACUUGUUCUUACCCUGGGUAACCAACUGAGCGCUCAAGA